UAGGACUUUUCAUGACAAUGAGACACUCUGCUCCUGGCAGCACCAAUCUACUUCAAGAGGAAGAUGGGCAUCGAAGAGGAUCCUUAUGGAGUUUGAUAGCCAUUUGGGCAAGAAACUGCUCUUGCCUGGACUAUUGCAUAAACUGGACACAGAGAACCCGCAGAGAGAGGACUGCUGAACUUGCCUAAAGGUGAGAUGAUCUUUCGGGGUUCCUGAUUCAUGAAAGAGUCUGCAAGACAUUCUUCAGGACAAGCAGAUAGUGACUGCCUUUGAAAUUUCCUGCUUUGUGGAAAUGUCUGCUGGAAACUAUGGGCCUGUAGGCCGAAGAUGGAUGCCCCAACGGUACAGAGGAACUUUGGGUGACUGUCCAGGCAGCGAGAUGUCUCUGUCAUUUCUAGAGCUUUGGAUGUUAAGUUAAAGCCUUCUUUUUUUUUUGUUUAAACAGAAAAAGGGGAAGUGAUGUGGGAGUGUCAUAUAUCAAUCUGUUGAUUUCAUUGGUUAAGUUAUAAUAAACCAGCUGCUUGGCCUCAUGGCUUGGAACAUAGAUGGGAGGAGUAAACAGAAUAGAAUUCUGGGCGGAAGAGGAAGUGAGGUCAGACUCUGCUCUGCUCCCGGACAGGAUGGAUGGAGGCUAGAAUCUUCCCGGGACUUAACAGAUGGUAGGACCAGGUGGGACAGAAAAACCUCAGUCAACACACAGAGAAGAUGAAGAGACGCUUCCCUCUCCCAUUCUUCUGACCUCCUGUGCUGCUUCGGAGAUGCCUCAGAUAACAGCUUCUGGCCACAAGAAGUGAUGCUGAAAGAGGACCUCUUACUCUCAAGAUAAGAGAAUGCCACCACAAGAAGUUGGCCAAUGGCAGUCAGUGCCAGACUGAAUUCCAUGUGGACCAUCUAAUCUGGUCCUAACACAAAUAUCCAAUGCUUCCUCAAAGAUGAAAGAGAGGAGAGCUUGGGUAAAAUGUCUACCUCCUUAUGGAUUUCUAGCAUCUUCAAUAAAACCAGCUUUCUUUCUCC